GAUAACGUAUUCAGGCGCCUUUAAUUCCGUUUGAAAAAUUGGAAGAACGAGUUGCAGCGGUUACAGGUGUGAGUGAAGCUGCGAACCUAUACCUUAGGCAGUAUACCAAGAAUAAUUUCUCGCACCUGCAGUGA